rnacentral:rRNA from 1 species
GCAGUAUCCUAACUGUGCUAAGGUAGCAUAAUCAUUAGUCUUUUAAUUGGAGACUGGUAUGAAUGGCUAAACGAGAAAUUAACUUUUUUUACUAUUUUUGUUGAAUUUAAUUUUUUAGUGAAAAAACUAAAAUAUUUUAGAAAGACGAGAAGACCCUAUAGAGUUUUAUAUCGAUUUAUAUUUUUUCUCAAUAGAUUUCAAAAGAAUAAAUUUAUUUAGAUAUUUUGUUGGGGCGACAUUAAGAUAAGAAAAACUCUUUAUUUUUUAGAUUUUUAUAAAAAUAUUUUAUGAUCCUCUAUAAGGGAUCAAAAGAAAAAAUUACCUUAGGGAUAACAGCGUAAUCUUUUUUGAGAGUUCUAAUCGUCAAAAAGGUUUGCGACCUCGAUGUUGGACUAAAAUUUAGGCAGGGUGCAGCAGUUCUGCUUUAAGGUCUGUUCGACCUAUA